rnacentral:rRNA from 1 species
GACGAACGCUGGCGGCGUGCUUAACACAUGCAAGUCGAACGGAAAGGCCCUGCUUUUGUGGGGUGCUCGAGUGGCGAAAGGGUGAGUAACACGUGAGUAACCUGCCCUUGACUUUGGGAUAACUUCAGGAAACUGGGGCUAAUACCGGAUAGGAGCUCCUGCUGCAUGGUGGGGGUUGGAAAGUUUCGGCGGUUGGGGAUGGACUCGCGGCUUAUCAGCUUGUUGGGGGGGUGGUGGCUUACCAAGGCAUUGACAGGACGCGGGCCUGGGCGGGGCACCGGCCACAUUGGGAUUGGGAUACGGCACGGACUCCUACGGGAGGCAGCGGUGGGGUAUAGAGUACUGGGGGAGGAAGCCUGGUGCGGCAACGCCGCGUGCGGGAUGACGUCCAGCGGGCUGUAUUGUGCUGUCGCUUGGGACGAAGCGUGAGUGACGGUAAUGGGUAAAGAAGCACCGGCUAACUACGUG